CACAAGUCGUAAAACCAGCUCAGACGUGGCUGGAAAAUAGAACAAGUUUGUCGUCUUCUAACACGGUGUGGCUGCGAAUUCCUCCCCAAAGCAAAGUAGCAUACAAUUCGCACUUUGUUGGAUCUAAAGUUGUGCAUCUGGAUUCAUAAAAGGAAGGAGGAAGUGUUCUGAUCUGGAGAUAAGACGGUGCGGACAUAAGUCUGCGUGUGGUGGAAGGCAAGGAGAGGAGCAGAACUCACUUUGAGGAAUAACGCGUAAUGGAUCAACCUACGAAUCAGACGUUCGUGGCACCUCAAGAUGACAUUACCGAACCUUUAGGGAUGAGGAUCGUUCGGCUGGCCAUUUACAUUAUUAUAUUUCUGAUUGCAACGAUUGGAAACUCACUGGUCAUCUUUGUGGUCUACAAAACAAGAGAGCUGCAUACGGUGACGGGUUACCUCAUUGCCAAUCUGGCAAUUGCGGACCUUGGCGUGGGACUCCUGUGUAUUCCGUUUACUGUCGUCUUCUAUGAGCUCAACUUUGUUUGGCCCUUUGGGGCCUUCAUGUGCAAGAUGAUUUGCUUGCAGCCGCUUUUCCUGAUGGCAUCGGUAGCCACACUCAUGGCCAUAUCUAUAGAUCGCCAUCAAUCCAUCGUAUACCCAUUCAACCCACGCAUCUCUCUGACCCAAGGCAAGCUCAUCAUCGCGUUAGUCUGGCUGAUUGGCAUGUUACCAGCCUUUCCCAUGUUAGGAGUUUUGGAACUAGUAGAAACACCACGCGGGCCCACCUGUACUGAAACUUGGCCAGACAUGGAUUUUGGGGCGACUAUCAACAGCAAGCUUAGCUUCGCGUAUACCAUCGCUUCUUUCGUGCUCACAUACGCGGUGCCUUUGCCGCUGAUCAUCAUACUCUACAUCAGAAUAGCGCUCAAGCUCAGAGAGGCUAUCAAGGAUGCCGCCGACCGGCCAGGCUUCCAGGCGGCUCAGCAGACGCGCAAGAUUAUAAAAAUGCUGGUUGCUGUGGUUGUUUGCUACGCGCUGUGCUACCUUCCAUUCCAUGGCAUGGUCUUUCUAAACUACAGCCAGGUAGUAGAAAACACGCCGAUAGUAUAUCUGAUCCAGUCUUACUGCCAAGUGAUCAUGUAUUUCAACAGUGCCUCAAAUCCAAUUCUCUACGCUUUUCUCGGGGAUCAGUUCCGAAACGGCUUCAAAAAAGCAAUCGGCUGCAAGAUUGGCCAAAAGAUGCAUAGUACAGCUGUCGUAUUUAAUGCAUGAGCCACGUCAGCGAGUAUGUGUUGUGACGUCAUGGCGCGUUGGACGUCAUUGUGACAUAAUGGCGUUUAACCCUAACACCAUAACGUGUCGUUGCCAUCACCGAACACUAAGCUUGAAUACGUCAAAUCUACUACAAGUUGAUGGUGACGACAUGAAUUGCCACAUCCUUCUUCGCCUAUCCCACAUGGAUAAAGAUGUCACAACACAUGACCCGCACAUAACAGCACUAAGGACAAUUUGAAACCGGCAUUCUUUGCAGUCAUUGCAUAACAGUAGCCAAUAGGCUUUUAUUACUGGGGAACACGAGGCACAAAGAAUACUCUAGACAAUUGAAACCUGCAUUUUUGCAGACAGUGGAACAGAAGUGAAAUGACAACUAUAAUAAUUAUACUUGCGUUGAAAAGCAAAGUUCAAGAACACGAAGCAGACAACCUGCAAGUAAGCGUUCCCGUUGAAGGCGAAAGAGAAAAAUCGGGCGACCACGUGCCUCGAAAGGAGGAAAAAGAACACUACCCAUAUCUUAAAUGUGCUACUGCCCUCUUUUCCUUAAACUGCUAGUAUACUAUUGUAUAAAUCCCCUUGAAAUAUUACUUGAGUAACAGUAAAAACCCGCCUGUAAGAACCUGGUGAUUUAAGAACCUAUAGGCAGAAAUUUUGGAUUUUAAUAACCCAAAAUAUAAGAACCUGUGUAACAGAACUUACUAAGCCAAACAAUUCAAAAGGUUCUUUUAUGAUGGGUUACUCCAUGAAAAUGGAACAAAUAAAGGGGCUUUAAGAUAUAAAUCUGCUAAACAUUUUGCUGGUCCAUUAAAAUAUGAUUACAGAUAGAACAUACAUACGCUAGGAUAUCUCUAUAGCAAAAUGGCUAAGUAUUUAGUCUCACUUCAGUAUUAUGACAAUCCUACUUACUGCAACUUUGAAAAAAAUAAGAACCUAAUAAGAACCUAUUUUGUCUUAAUUGUUACUAAGUACACCAAAAUAUAAGAACAAGUUUUGCCAAAGUUGAAAAAACUAGGGUUUUCUCACACGCGGGUUUUUACUGUACCCAAAAUUUAUUGUAAGAUCGUAAGGCUUUACGCAUACCACAUUUUAAGUAAUAACAUUUCUUAGUUCCCUGGUGGGGGAGACUAAGUAUUUAAGUGGGUCUGAACAGACUUAUCAAACAUACCUUACUGAGCCAUACAAUUCUCAAACUUUGCUCUUUUUUAUUCAUUACAAACAAAGAAUAAACAUAGAGAUAAGAAAUGCUAAUUAAUAAGCAUUGGUCAAAAUGCCUGACAUGUUUAUUUUGCUUUUUGGUAAUAGAACUUAAAUUACUUUUAUUUGGGAAUAUACUUUUUAGAGUCUUAAAAGGAUAGGGUAUAAUAGAAGGACGUUUAUCACACAAGACUUAUUACCGCAGCUCUUUGAUAGAACUAGUGCUUCAGUGGUUACACCUUGUUGUUACUUGCUUGUAUAUAAAGCAUAUCACUUAUUGUAGAUAUAACUAAAAUAAAUUCUAUAGAAUGUAAAUAAUCGUUCAAAAAGCUAUAGGCGGAAAGACAGCACGGUUUGGAAAAUAGUACGUCCGGGAAGAUAAUACGAUUUCUCUGAUUGGUCAAGUAAUAGUGUGCAAUAAAGAAAUACAAAUUCAA